UCUAGGUGGGGGCACCCUGACCGCAAUGCCGCGUGAGUGAAGAAGGCCUUCGGGUUGUAAAGCUCUUUUGUCAGGGAAGAAACACCGGCUCUAACACAGUCCGGGAAUGACGGUACCUGAAGAAUAAGCACCGGCUAACUACGUGCCAGCAGCCGCGGUAAUACGUAGGGUGCAAGCGUUAAUCGGAAUUACUGGGCGUAAAGCGUGCGCAGGCGGUUAUACAAGACAGGCGUGAAAUCCCCGGGCUUAACCUGGGAAUGGCGCCUGUGACUGUAUAGCUAGAGUGUGUCAGAGGGGGGUAGAAUUCCACGUGUAGCAGUGAAAUGCGUAGAUAUGUGGAGGAAUACCAAUGGCGAAGGCAGCCCCCUGGGAUAACACUGACGCUCAUGCACGAAA
rnacentral:rRNA from 1 species